rnacentral:misc_RNA from 1 species
AAGUCGUAACAAGGUUUCCGUAGGUGAACCUGCGGAAGGAUCAUUAUCCUAUAGCUUAGUAUGCAAAUACUAAAAGCGCAUGCUCCCAUGAGUUGCGUAAAAAUGCACAGCGACACAUGCCUCGUCAUGUAUCGCUCAAACCAAAUCCAGGCCUGCUCGGGCCCUGGUCGGGUACCUAUCGUACGCAAGUACACCAAACGGCCGAUCCUAUUGUCGACCGUGUGGCGUAAAGAUCAUUCGGAGGCCAAGUGUCGAAUGACGCCCGCUUAGCAUAAAAAAUUUUAUACCAAAUUAAACACUUAUUAUGUUGUAUGUGUAAGCAACUAUCCUGUACUACUAUGGGAUACUAACACAAAUACAACCCUAUGCGGUGGAUCAUUUGGCUC